AAUUUAAUCAGUGGCUCUAUGUCAAUGUGCAGCAGCUGAGGAUCUGACUUGAAAAGAGGUCAACAUCUUUUUUCUCUCCCUUUUGCUGAAUCCUUGUGUGAGAAGGUCUGCUCCUACAGAAAGUGGUUUCCCCAACAAAGGAAAUCUUACCUGCGGCAGCUGCUUUGCACAUCCCCUGCUGUGCAAAUCGCCCUUCACAGAGGCAGAUCUUCCUGUCGGUGACUGACAAGAGGUGCCAGGAGCAGGUUAGGAGACUUUUAAAACCCACGAGUUGGCAAAUCAGCAGCAGCCUUUCCUUUGGCUGGAUAAAAAAGAACAUACACAUCAUCAUCCUCAUUAUGAAGAGCAUCGUAGAAGCCAUUAGUUUUGAACUUUGGACCAAGAAAGGUUCUCACGGAUUUUCUAUUACUUCCCAAGAUGUCCUUUUUGAACUGUAAGAGUAGUCAAUUAUUUCUAUCUGCUUAGCCCUUUUGAUAUUUGUGACAGCUUAUCUCAAGACUGUAAACUUUCAAAUGUUUUUUUGAAUGCAAUCUCAAAAUACCAGAUUAAAUGAGGCAUCUGAAAUUGACCAAAUUUAAAUAAGGAUGUUUUUCUUGGUUGUGAGUUGGCAUAACCUAAAAAGCAAAAUUGCAUUUAUAUUCAAGAAAUAUAUAUAUCUUUAUAUAUCUACAUAUCUAUAGCUUUGUAUACAUAAAUAUAUGUGUGUAUACAUAUCACUUUAAAACAUGAUUUAUCUGAGCAAUACAACAUACUUGCAGGUAGAGUGAUGCAGAAGUGAAUGGUGUAAUAUACAAGUCUUCACAUAUCUGCAUUGAAAACUAUCUAUGCUUCAUAACACUUUUACUUUCUCAACUAAAAGUCACUGUAAACUUUUUUAACUAAGCGACUAUUUAUUUUUGCAUUAAAAAAAAAGUCCAGAACAACAUAAGGAAACCUGCAAUAAAUGACACAAUUUUACUUUGGCCAGACACUCCUACUCUGUAUCAGAGUAAAUGUCACUGAGUUGUAAGUAUCAGCAGAAGCCAAAGCACACAGAAAACUCACCU